rnacentral:siRNA from 1 species
UUGCCUAUUGACAAGUGAAGCUU